rnacentral:rRNA from 1 species
GAUGAACGCUGGCGGCGUGCCUAAUACAUGCAAGUAGAACGCUGAAGCUUGGUGCUUGCACCGAGCGGAUGUGUCGCACACGGGUGUGUAACGCGUAUGUCACCUGCCUCAUAGCGGGGGAACAAUUGUGAACAAGAUAGCUAAUACCACAUAAGAAGCGAUAUCGCAUGAUAUUGAUUUGAAAUGUACAAAUGCCUCAACAAGAUAUGGCCCUGCGUUGUAUUAGCUAGUUGGUGAGGUAACGGCUCACCAAGGCGACGAUACAUAGCCGACCUGAGAGGGUGAUCGGCCACACUGGGACUGAGACACGGCCCAGACUCCUACGGGAGGCAGCAGUAGGGAAUCUUCGGCAAUGGGCGGAAGCCUGACCGAGCAACGCCGCGUGAGUGAAGAAGGGUUUCGGAUCGUAAAGCUCUGUUGUAAGAGAAGAACGAGUGUGAGAGUGGAAAGUUCACACUGUGACGGUAACUUACCAGAAAGGGACGGCUAACUACGUG